rnacentral:misc_RNA from 1 species
GGCAUUAGCGAAAGCUUCAAGGGAAAGACCCGGCCCUCCUAAUCUCAUCAUGUUCUUCUUCUUUUUCAUGCUGAUAGAUUUUGGGCCGUUGAUCUUCUCAUUCUUUUCCUCACCUUCUUUUGAGGCACGAUUCUUCAUUGUUCCACGAAAUUAUCUUAUUUCUUAUUAAGCAAUUGACUAUCAAUAACAGGAAACAGGUCGAAUUUGGGAACCCUAUUUUAAGAGGUGAAGUGAGUAUGGCGGUGGUCGGUAGCUCCUUGAAGUUCAAAUUUACCCGAGGUCCUGAACUCUAGUCAGGCAAUUUGAUACGGUGUAGUUUCCG